AUGCGGCCAUAUCACAUUGAAACACCUCUCCCCUACGAUCACUGAAGUUAAGAAGCAUCGAUCCUGAUCAAAUCUAGAUGGGUGACCUCUUGGGAAUACCAGGUGUUGCAAG